GGCUUGGUGGUCUAGUAGUAUGAUUCCUUCUUAGGGCUGUUGUUCAGUCAAUUUUCAUGGAGGAGGUCCCGAGUUCAAUUCUCGGCCAAGCCC